UAAGAGAAUGGAAUAUAUUUAGAAUUUAGAAUUAAUUUAGGUAAAAAUAAGUUUAAUAAAGUGCCAGCAGAUGCGGUUAUACUUUUUUAUAGAUAAAAUAGAUAGUUUUUUAGCAAAUAAAUAUAAAUUUAUUUAUAGAAGUAGAAUUUAAAUAAAAUUUAUUUUUAGCGAAGAGAUAAAUUAUAAAUUGAAAAAGAUUAGAUACCUUUGUAAUAAAAAUUUAUAGGUAGUAAUAGAUAUGCUAGAAACCUAGAAGAAGAUGGUGGCUUUUAUAGUAUUUAGGGGAAUCUGACCUGUAAUUGAUGAUCCGCAAUUAAAUUUUUUAUUUUAAUUAUUUAUAUCGUUGUUUAGAUUUCUUUAUAAAAAAUCAAUCUUAUAAAAAUAAUUUAUAAAAAUAAAUCAAGAUGAAGAUUAUAUAAAAAAUAGAGUUGGAUUACUUUGAAAAUUAGUGGAAAGAGAUUAUAGUUUUUUGAAAGAGGACUUAUUAGUAAUAUUUAUAAUAAAAUUUUAAUAUGAAAUACUUUAAAAAAGCACACAUAUUGCCCGUCAUUUCUAAUUUAUUAGGACAAGUCGACACAUAGUAGAUCUAGCGGAAGCUGGAUCUUUAUCUUU
rnacentral:rRNA from 1 species